GCUAGUGUAGCAGAACCCGGCAAUUGCAAAAGACUUAAACCCUUUCCCACAGAGGUUCAAAUCCUCUCUCUAGCU
rnacentral:tRNA from 1 species